AUGAAGAACGUAGCGAAAUGCGAUACUUGGUGUGAAUUGCAGAAUCCCGUGAACCAUCGAGUUUUUGAACGCAAGUUGCGCCCGAGGCCACCCGGCCGAGGGCACGCCUGCCUGGGCGUCACGCCUCGCGUCGCUCCGCCUACCUCGCCCUGAGCACCCCGUGCUCUUACGGCGGUGGGCGGCG
rnacentral:rRNA from 1 species